CAUAAGAUUUGGGCCAAUUACAUUAUCUCCUCCAGGAGCCCAUUCUCUCUCUUCAAAACACGACAGAAACCCUAACCUCAACAAUUUCCAUUCUUUCUCUUCUAACUACGAAUUCAUCAGACAACAAUUCAACAAUAGAGAAUAUCCAUUUUCUCUUUCCUCUCAUCAUUUAUCUCUGAGUUACGGUGAAGUUCUAAUAGCUGCAAAAAUGGAGAAACAAGAAGAGAGAGAAUAAAAUCAGCUAAAUUGGAGGAAAGAAGUCGAUAACAACAUUAAACGUCUCUAAUCUCUUGUUUUCAGCGUCGAUUUUGCUGCUUACUGCCCAGUACCAGCAUCAACGAACUCAAGCGAAACCUACGUCAAUUUCUCUUUCUCAGCCCAUCAAUUAGCUUACAGAAGUAGUUAGAACUUAGAAGUUGAAAUAAAAGUCUUUACUUUAGCCUACAUCACUUUUAUCUUCAGUCUCAUACUUUUGUCCCUCCAUAUUGACCUAUUUUUCUGAAGUGUUGUUAUGUGAGUUUUAAUUUUUCUCGAUAAAAAUCCUCUACCUAAACCAUAUGCUUUAUAAACAUAUUUUGACUUCCAUGUUGCAAGUUUUUCUUGGAAUUUCUCAAUAAUAGAUUCAAACUGAAGUUCACUUGAUAAGAGCACCAAGGGGAAGGCUCAAAUUGGCUGAAGAUGAAACUCUGUCUCACACAUUUGGGGGUUUUAGUUUAGAAGGAAUGAUAGAAUCUUCCACUAGGAUUUGUCUACUGAUAUCUUCUACUGGGAUAGAGUUAUGUAUUUAGCAUUUAUGUACACUAUGAUUGGGUGCUGUUUGAAAAAUGGCUUGAUUUCAAGGUCUUACCCAGACAUAUUUUUUACUCUUAGUAAAGCUCCUUUCUUUUUGUUUUCGCUUUUGCUGUCUUGGCUUCUGACCUGUCUCUUCUCUCAGGCAUGUACUGGUUUAAAUAAAAGGCCAGUAGCUGAAAAACGACCAAGGAGGGAGAAUGUUGUAGUCUACUUGAACGAAUAGUUAACAAGAGGAAAAUGGUUAUGAAUCUUGUCUGAUGCUGUUGUGGAGCAUGCUUAUGACGGUUUGCUUUGGACAUUGCGGAGCCUACAUCAACUCUUUUUGCUACUUUUACCCUUUGUGUCUAUGGAGAAGGGCAUGCUGAAGUCAUCCUCAAUCUCAACCAAGAUUACUCGUGGUUGGCAAACAGUUUGGAGCUGCCUUGUCCAUGGGUUCCCUAAAUUUAGCAAUAUCUCCUCCGUUGUAAUACCUAUUUCGAAAGCUCACAUACUAUUUUGCUAGUUACCUUGAAGUUCAUAGGACAUACUGAAUAUGACAGAAGUACCUCAGGAUGUUUGGGACCUUCAAUGUUUCAGAUGUAUCUCAAUUCAAAAGUUGCACUUGUUACGCCUUUGUAUUAUAUGAACUAUGGAAGCUUUUAGCUUUAGUGGCUAUUCCCAUGCUUUACAAAGUCAGGGCAAGUUUGCAGUCUCUUCCGGGAUCAUCACAGUAUUCACCAUGUGCUCUCUUUUUUAGUACAGUGAUAAAUCACUGGUGUUUGUGUACUUCUUUCUCUUUGGGUUGAGCACAAUAACACUUUCUUUCUUGAUUUCCACAUUUUUCACAAGAGCUAAAACAGUUGUGGCAGUUGGGACACUUUCAUUUCUGGGAGCCUUCUUCCCUUAUUACAAUGUUAACGACCCUGCUGAUGUAUCGAUGUCAGUAUCUGAGUCUUGUAAUGAUAAUAUUAUGUUAUUUCAUGUGCCUGACGCCUAUAUCUUUUUCAAAUUCUGAUAUCCUUGAAAUUGAAGGCACAUGAAAUUAAUGACAAUGACAACAUAGCCAAAAGUUUUAGCAGGUUGAUUAUAUUUUGUAACUCGAAUUUACACUUGUUUUGUAACUAAUAUACACUUAUUUCAUUUUAAUGAUAAUAAUAAUUUGAAUGUGUUGGUUGUA